rnacentral:rRNA from 1 species
UACGUAGGGUGGCAAGCGUUUAAUCGGAAUUACUGGGCGUAAAGCGUGCGCAGGCGGUGAUGUAAGACAGAUGUGAAAUCCCCGGGCUCAACCUGGGAACUGCAUUUGUGACUGCAUCGCUGGAGUGCGGCAGAGGGGGAUGGAAUUCCGCGUGUAGCAGUGAAAUGCGUAGAUAUGCGGAGGAACACCGAUGGCGAAGGCAAUCCCCUGGGCCUGCACUGACGCUCAUGCACGAAAGCGUGGGGAGCAAACAGG